UACGAAGGGGGCUAGCGUUGUUCGGAAUUACUGGGCGUAAAGCGCGCGCAGGCGGUUUUCCAAGUCAGUGGUGAAAGCCCAGAGCUCAACUCUGGAACUGCCAUUGAUACUGGAAGUCUUGAGUUCGAGAGAGGUGAGUGGAAUUCCGAGUGUAGAGGUGAAAUUCGUAGAUAUUCGGAGGAACACCAGUGGCGAAGGCGGCUCACUGGCUCGAUACUGACGCUGAGGUGCGAAAGCGUGGGGAGCAAACAGG
rnacentral:rRNA from 1 species